rnacentral:rRNA from 1 species
CCUACGGGAGGCAGCAGUGGGGAAUAUUGGGCAAUGGGCGCAACCCUGACCCAGCAACGCCGCGUGAAGGAAGAAGGCCCUCGGAUUGUAAACUUCUUUUGUCAGGGACGAAUAAAAUGACGGUACUUGAUGAAUAAGCCACGGCUAACUACGUGCCAGCAGCCGCGGUAAUACGUAGGUGGCAAGCGUUAUCCGGAUUGACUGGGUGUAAAGGGCGCGUAGGCGGUACUGCAAGUCAGAUGUGAAAACCAUGGGCUCAACCCCUGGGCUGCAUUUAAAACUGUAAUUCUUGAGUGUUGGAGAGGUUAGUGGAAUUCCGUGUGUAGCGGUGGAAUGCGUAGAUAUAAGGAGGAACACCAGUGGCGAAGGCGGCUUACUGGACUGUAACUGACGUUGAGGCACGAAAGCGUGGGGAGCAAACAGGAUUAGAUACCCGAGUAGUC